GCGCGAAACCUCCGCAAUGUGAGAAAUCGCGACGGGGGGAUCCCAAGUGCCAUUCUUAACGGGAUGGCUUUUCAUUAGUGUAAAGAGCUUUUGGAAUAAGAGCUGGGCAAGACCGGUGCCAGCCGCCGCGGUAACACCGGCAGCUCUAGUGGUAGCAGUUUUUAUUGGGCCUAAAGCGUCCGUAGCCGGUUUAAUAAGUCUCUGGUGAAAUCCUGCAGCUUAACUGUGGGAAUUGCUGGAGAUACUAUUAGACUUGAGAUCGGGAGAGGUUAGAGGUACUCCCAGGGUAGAGGUGAAAUUCUGUAAUCCUGGGAGGACCGCCUGUUGCGAAGGCGUCUGACUGGAACGAUUCUGACGGUGAGGGACGAAAGCUAGGGGCGCGAACCGG
rnacentral:rRNA from 1 species